UGAAUACGAGACGCUACGGCGUCGAAGCAGUCUAUGUCAUACUUCCAAGAAAAGCUCGCAAUGUCAUAAACAAAUAAUGCCUGUACCAUAACCGACACAGGUGGGUAGGUAGAGUAUACUAAGGGGCGCGAGAUAACUCUCUCUAAGGAACUCGGCAAAAUGACUCCGUAACUUCGGGAGAAGGAGUGCCUUAUUUAUAAGGUUGCAAUAACAAGAUCCAAGCAACUGUUUAUCAAAAACACAGGUCUCCGCUAAGUCGUAAGACGAUGUAUGGGGGCUGACGCCUGCCCAGUGCCAGAAGGUUAAAGAAGUUGGUUAGCAUUCGCGAAGCUGAUAACUGAAGCCCUGGUGAACGGCGGCCGUAACAAUAACGGUCUUAAGGUAGCGAAAUUCCUUGUCGGGUAAGUUCCGACCCGCACGAAAGGCGUAAUGAUUUGGAUACUGUCUCGGAGAGGGGCUCGGUGAAAUAGACUUGUCUGUGAAGAUGCGGACUACCUGCACCUGGACAGAAAGACCCUAUGAAGCUUUACUGUAACUUGAAAUUGAAAUUGGACUUUAUUUGCGCAGCAUAGGUGGGAGGCGUUGAGAGUAUUCUUGCGGGAAUAUUGGAGCCAUCAGUGAGAUACCACUCUUGUAAUGUUAGAUUUCUAACUUUGGAUCAUUAUCUGGUCAAAGAACAGUUUCAGGCGGGCAGUUUGACUGGGGCGGUCGCCUCCCAAAUGGUAACGGAGGCGUACAAAGGUUUCCUCUGAACGGGUAGAAAUCGUAUCUAGAGUGUAAAGGCAUAAGGAAGCUCGACUGUGAGACCUACAAGUCGAGCAGGGACGAAAGUCGGUCUUAGUGAUCUGACGGUGCUGAGUGGAAAGGCCGUCACUCAACGGAUAAAAGUUACUCUAGGAUAACAGGCUGAUCUCCCCCAAGAGUUCACAUCGACGGGGAGGUUUGGCACCUCGAUGUCGGCUCAUCGCAUCCUGGGGCGGUAGUACGUCCCAAGGGUUGGGCUGUUCGCCCAUGAAAGCGGUACGCGAGCUGGGUUCAGAACGUCGUGAGACAGUUCGGUCCAUAUCCGGUGUAGGCGUUAGAAUAUUGAGAGGAGCCUUCUUUAGUACGAGAGGACCGAGAAGGACAUACCUCUGGUGUACCAGUUAUCGUGCCAACGGUAAACGCUGGGUAGCUAUGUAUGGAGAGGAUAACCGCUGAAAGCAUCUAAGUGGGAAGCCCACCUCAAGAUAAGUAUUCUCA
rnacentral:rRNA from 1 species